rnacentral:rRNA from 1 species
GGCAGCGUGGAUUAGGCAUGCAAGUCGAACGAUAAUCCCGGGUAUAGCAAUAUAUCUGGGAGGACAGUGGCGAAAGGGCGAGUAACGCGUAGGCAACCUGCCCCGAAGAUGGGGACAACCCGCCGAAAGGCGGGCUAAUACCCAAUGUGGUUCUCUUCCGCAUGGAAGGGCAACUGAAGCUGGGGACCUUAGGGCCUGGCACUUCGGGAGGGGCCUGCGUACCAUCAGCUAGUUGGUGAGGUAACGGCCCACCAAGGCUUACGGUUAGCUGGUCUGAGAGGAUGGUCAGCCGCACUGGGACUGAGACACUGCCCAGACUCCUACGGGAGGCUGCAGUCGAGGAUCUUCUGCAAUGGGCGCAAGCCUGACAGAGCGACGCUGCGUGGAGGAUGAAGGCCUUCGGGUUGUAAACUCCUGUCAUUUGGGAACAAUUGUCAACGGGGGAAUAUCCCGCUGACUUGAUGGUACCGGAAGAGGAAGCCACGGCCAACUCUGUGCCAGCAGCCGCGGUAAUACAGAGGUGGCAAGCGUUGUUCGGAUUUACUGGGCGUAAAGGGCGCGUAGGCGGCUCCGUGUGUCGGAUGUGAAAUACCAUCGCUCAACGAUGGAACGGCAUUCGAAACUGCAGAGCUAGAGUACAGGAGGGGAGAGCGGAAUUCUUGGUGUAGCGGUGAAAUGCGUUGAUAUCAAGAAGAACACCGGUGGCGAAGGCGGCUCUCUGGAAUGCUACUGACGCUGAGGCGCGAAAGCUGGGGGAGCAAACAGGUUUAGAUACCCUGGUAGUCCCAGCCCUAAACGGUGUGCACUUGGUGUGGGGGUAUUGACCCCCCCGUGCCGUAGUUAACACGUUAAGUGCACCGCCUGGGGAGUACGGUCGCAAGAUUAAAACUCAAAGAAAUUGACGGGGGCCCGCACAAGCGGAGGAGCAUGUGGCUCAAUUCGAUGCAACGCGAAGAACCUUACCAGGGCUUGACAUGCAGGUGCAUGCUUUUCGAAAGAAAGGCAGCCUUCGAGGGUCCUGCACAGGUGCUGCAUGGCUGUCGUCAGUUCGUGCCGUGAGGUGUUAGGUUAAGUCCUGCAACGAACGCAACCCCUGUGCCUAGUUGCGACUCCCGACGAUGAGUUGGGAAGCACUCUAGGCAGACUGCCCGUUUAGUGGAGGAAGGUGGGGACGACGUCAAGUCAGUAUGGCCUUUAUGCCCUGGGCUGCACACGUGCUACAAUGGUCGGUACAGAGGGAUGCAAGACCGCGAGGUGGAGCAAAUCCCCAAAACCGGCCCCAGUUCAGAUUGGAGUCUGCAACUCGACUCCAUGAAGCCGGAUUCGCUAGUAUGGCGCAUCAGCUACGGCGCCGUGAAUACGUUCCCGGGCCUUGUACACACCGCCCGUCACAUCAUGGAAGCCGUCUGCACCCGAAGCCGGUGAGCGAACCCGCAAAGGACGCAACUGUCUAAGGUGUGGGUGGUGAUUGGGAUGAAGUCGUAACAAGGUA